rnacentral:lncRNA from 1 species
GAGACUGCAGCAGAUCAAACAGUGAAACACACACACACACAUACACACAUGAAUGCAACACGUAUUAUUGAAAAUCUCUCUCUGUAUCAAACAAUCAGUGUAAUUUUUCACUGCAUGAUUCGAAGCUUCGUUGUUUUGCAGUGGGGUGUGGCUUGGUGACUCGUAAGGCUUCAGUCGGGGCUGUAUUCAGAUUCACUUUAAGGUUACUACGCAGUUUUCUUUGAGUCCCGGUCACGUAGCCGCCCCGUCUCCGCUCUUCUGCUACCAGGAUACUUUUCUUCGUCUCUUCUGAGGAAGUUGUGGCCCACUGCACCUGAUGUCCCUUCCUCCCCACCACCACUCCACACUCCCCAUAAGCCCCCACACAGUAAAAGUAAGACCAGAAAUAUCCCUACCUCUCCUGUUGGAGUCUCCCAUGUACUGCACUGCUGCUGCUCCUCCAAGACUGUUACUGCUGAACCAUAAUCCAAAAAUUUUAUUCCCUUGUGUGUCAAACUUGUGAUCUUCUCCAUCCGUCAUGCAUCAACCCAGCCUUCACAAGGGGAGAUAAGCGACAAGCCGAGUGACCAAUCCCUUGCUGCGUAGUGUACCUCAUAGCUCUACCUCGCCAUUCACUGCCUGCCGUGCAUCCCCAGCUGCCCGCGGCCCGCCACCAGCCAAGCCAGUCUACGCUAUUGUCUCCGCAAGCCCCGUGAUUAUUAACUUUUUUGUGUUUUUAUAUAACAUUGGUCAGCAGAUACCGUGUGAUGGCUUCUAACAGUGGUGAGGGGAUUGCCGAAGGGGGCUUAUUACGACGCAAAACAGACCCCAGCCCUAGUGAGUGGAAGAGAAUUGUGGCGAAAACCAAACGGAACACUGGCCAGGAAUACGUGAGCCGAGAUACAGGGAAAGUCAUAAAAAAGCGUGAGGUAGGGCCUGCAUGCAAGGAUGGUUGUUAUGAUAAGUUGGGCUUAGAUAACAUUAAGAAAAUACAUGAAUCCUUUAGGUGUAUUUCUUUUCCUUUUUUCAUGUCUUCUACUUUACUUUUUCUCCUCUUAAUCUCUCUUUUUCGAUUUUGAAGAUUUUUCUUAUCGUGUUUUAUUGUUAUUUUGUAUUUUGCUAUGAUGUGAUUAUGAUUGUGUGGGUUUGGAGUCAUGUUUCAAGCACUAUAGUAGGAUAUUGAUUGAAUAAAAUAAGGAGAAAAACGCGAUCAAAGUUUUCGACAUUUGGAAUGCGAUAGCUAAAAAAAAGAUCAAGCUAGAGAGCUGAGAUUGGUCUUAAAUAAAAGCUUAGGAUGUUUACUUUAUGCAUGGUAUAUUUUUUCAAUAACUUAUCAUAGUUCUGAGAUAUAAACCGAUGACCACAUUUUUCGCCGAUUUAACACUGUGAAAAACAGCUAAAAAAUAAUUUCACCGUUAAUCCUUUUAUAUUAUGGCAAGAUGAUGUGUUUGAUUUUAUGACAGACAUAAAGUAGACAUUCUAAGCUUUCUUUUAAGACCAAACCCAACUCUCUAGCUUGAUCCGUUGCUGAGCUAUCGCAUUCCAAAUGUCACAAAAAUUUGACCCGCGUUUUUCUCCGUUUUUUGUUUUUAGCGCUUAUCGCCCUAUGUCACGCAACGCCUCAAAUAUGGAAAUGCAUCAUGGUACUAAAGAAAGUUAGAAUUUA